AUUGAACGCUGGCGGCAGGCCUAACACAUGCAAGUCGAACGGCAGCACAGAAGAGCUUGCUCUUUGGGUGGCGAGUGGCGGACGGGUGAGUAAUGUCUGGGAAACUGCCCGAUGGAGGGGGAUAACUACUGGAAACGGUAGCUAAUACCGCAUAACGUCGCAAGACCAAAGUGGGGGACCUUCGGGCCUCACACCAUCGGAUGUGCCCAGAUGGGAUUAGCUAGUAGGUGGGGUAAUGGCUCACCUAGGCGACGAUCCCUAGCUGGUCUGGAAGGAUGACCAGCCACACUGGAACUGAGACACGGUCCAGACUCCUACGGGAGGCAGCAGUGGGGAAUAUUGCACAAUGGGCGCAAGCCUGAUGCAGCCAUGCCGCGUGUAUGAAGAAGGCCUUCGGGUUGUAAAGUACUUUCAGCGGGGAGGAAGGCGGUGAGGUUAAUAACCUUGCCGAUUGACGUUACCCGCAGAAGAAGCACCGGCUAACUCCGUGCCAGCCGCCGCCGUAA
rnacentral:rRNA from 1 species